GACGAACCGAGCGAACGUUGUUCGGAAUUACUGGGCGUAAAGGGCUCGUAGGCGGCCUUCUAAGUCAUACGUGAAAUCCCUCGGCUUAACCGGGGAACUGCGUCUGAUACUGGAGGGCUUGAGUUCGGGAGAGGGAUGCGGAAUUCCAGGUGUAGCGGUGAAAUGCGUAGAUAUCUGGAGGAACACCGGUGGCGAAGGCGGCAUCCUGGACCGAUACUGACGCUGAGGAGCGAAAGCCAGGGGAGCAAACGGG
rnacentral:rRNA from 1 species